UUUAUGGAGAGUUUGAUCCUGGCUCAGGAUGAACGCUGGCGGCGUGCCUAAUACAUGCAAGUCGAGCGAACGGACGAGAAGCUUGCUUCUCUGAUGUUAGCGGCGGACGGGUGAGUAACACGUGGAUAACCUACCUAUAAGACUGGGAUAACUUCGGGAAACCGGAGCUAAUACCGGAUAAUAUUUUGAACCGCAUGGUUCAAAAGUGAAAGACGGUCUUGCUGUCACUUAUNGAUGGAUCCGCGCUGCAUUAGCUAGUUGGUAAGGUAACGGCUUACCAAGGCAACGAUGCAUAGCCGACCUGAGAGGGUGAUCGGCCACACUGGAACUGAGACACGGUCCAGACUCCUACGGGAGGCAGCAGUAGGGAAUCUUCCGCAAUGGGCGAAAGCCUGACGGAGCAACGCCGCGUGAGUGAUGAAGGUCUUCGGAUCGUAAAACUCUGUUAUUAGGGAAGAACAUAUGUGUAAGUAACUGUGCACAUCUUGACGGUACCUAAUCAGAAAGCCACGGCUAACUACGUGCCAGCAGCCGCGGUAAUACGUAGGUGGCAAGCGUUAUCCGGAAUUAUUGGGCGUAAAGCGCGCGUAGGCGGUUUUUUAAGUCUGAUGUGAAAGCCCACGGCUCAACCGUGGAGGGUCAUUGGAAACUGGAAAACUUGAGUGCAGAAGAGGAAAGUGGAAUUCCAUGUGUAGCGGUGAAAUGCGCAGAGAUAUGGAGGAACACCAGUGGCGAAGGCGACUUUCUGGUCUGUAACUGACGCUGAUGUGCGAAAGCGUGGGGAUCAAACAGGAUUAGAUACCCUGGUAGUCCACGCCGUAAACGAUGAGUGCUAAGUGUUAGGGGGUUUCCGCCCCUUAGUGCUGCAGCUAACGCAUUAAGCACUCCGCCUGGGGAGUACGACCGCAAGGUUGAAACUCAAAGGAAUUGACGGGGACCCGCACAAGCGGUGGAGCAUGUGGUUUAAUUCGAAGCAACGCGAAGAACCUUACCAAAUCUUGACAUCCUUUGACAACUCUAGAGAUAGAGCCUUCCCCUUCGGGGGACAAAGUGACAGGUGGUGCAUGGUUGUCGUCAGCUCGUGUCGUGAGAUGUUGGGUUAAGUCCCGCAACGAGCGCAACCCUUAAGCUUAGUUGCCAUCAUUAAGUUGGGCACUCUAAGUUGACUGCCGGUGACAAACCGGAGGAAGGUGGGGAUGACGUCAAAUCAUCAUGCCCCUUAUGAUUUGGGCUACACACGUGCUACAAUGGACAAUACAAAGGGCAGCGAAACCGCGAGGUCAAGCAAAUCCCAUAAAGUUGUUCUCAGUUCGGAUUGUAGUCUGCAACUCGACUACAUGAAGCUGGAAUCGCUAGUAAUCGUAGAUCAGCAUGCUACGGUGAAUACGUUCCCGGGUCUUGUACACACCGCCCGUCACACCACGAGAGUUUGUAACACCCGAAGCCGGUGGAGUAACCUUUUAGGAGCUAGCCGUCGAAGGUGGGACAAAUGAUUGGGGUGAAGUCGUAACAAGGUAGCCGUAUCGGAAGGUGCGGCUGGAUCACCUCCUUUCU
rnacentral:rRNA from 1 species